ACCAAAACGCAAUUUUACUGUUCAUUAACAGUAAAGUGGCGAAACUGCCCCUCAAAAUUUUCGGCCUCUUCGUUUUCUAUCUGCCUUUCUAUAGUGAUAUGAUGCUUUUGCCCUUCAUGUUCUACGUGUCUUCCAUCGGUGGAUGUUUUAUCUUUGGUUGUUCUAGACAUUUCCUUUUCUUUCCGCUUUCCUCUCUCGCAUACCUUGGGUUUCCUCGUUUUUGCGGUUUGUUUAUCUUCGCCUGCCGUUCUGUUUUCUGUCGUCCUCUUUCUUUGUUGGUUUUGUUGUUCAAAAUCUUGAGCCUUUUGCUUUGUUGUUCUUCGAUUACCUGUUAGAAUCGUUAAUUUCUGCUUCUUUUUGGUUGGGUUCGAAAUAUUUUUUUCGCUCAUUUUAACGGUCAUUUACAAGUGAGUUUUGCAUGUUUAUCACGAUUUCAGAGAUUUGUACCCAUUUUGGAUUCGAUUGGGAUUUGGUUGGAACCGAUCCAAUCCGGCAUUUCCAGGUCAGUUUUGCAUGUUUAUGGGUCUUUUGCGUUUGCGCGAUUUGUUUUUGUGGAUGGCUUAUGCGUUUUCUUUUUCAGUUGCAGGAAAUGGUGCCUUUCAAACUUCGUAAUUUUUUGUUGCGGUUUUUUGGAGCUACUGUGUAAAAGGAGUUUGUUGUCCCAUUUUUGUGAUGGAAUUGGAAUGAAAAGCGAUUGGAGGGUGUUAAAAAUUUCUUGAUAGGGGAAGGUCGCGUUGUUCAGAUUUUGCAGGUAGGAUAUUAGGGUGAAGGAAAAAUGGGAGAGAGUAUGGGAGACAAAUUUAGGAUUAGAGAUAGGAAAACUAACCAAAAAUAAUAUGACAGAGGAAUGGGUUGGGUUAAUUUAGACUUGAUUUUUUUUAUUUAUUUUUUUGACUGAUUUGGAAUUUUGUUUGGGUUUGGGGGUUCUCAUUUCUAUCAGGACCUUUAUGGCUAGACUGUAUAUAUAUAAAUUUUUUUUUGCUAAUUCUUACGUUGUUCUUGGAAUUUUGUGUGCUAGAGUUUUUGAAUUUUAUCUUGAUCUUUUUGUUUUUCUAUUUAUGAAACGCUUUGAUCUGUGAUUGCCAAGUUAGCUUGAAAGGGACUGGCAUUGCAUUGGACUUAAACCAAAUUUGAAAAAUGCAGUUUAUGCACAGUUGACCCAAAUAUACUACAACAUAUUGGUUAAGAUCGUUUGUGUUGUGAUGAUUUUGAAGGUUUGAAUAUCAUGUAAUUAGAAAUGCGUUAGUUUUUUUUUUUGGGUUAAAAUUGUCUCUGUUAUAGUGUAUAAUAGUGUGUUUUCACACGAGCAAUUUAAUUAUUAGUGCAUGAAAAUAACAGAUGUAUUCAUUUCGAUUUAAGUGUUAUUGGAAAAUAACUUAUUGAUAUUGGUUAAUCAAAGUGUUGAUGUUAUGAUGCGUUUUAAAAUGUAAGUUGUGGAUUCAUUUUUUAUGGUAGAUGUUAAAUUGUUAGUGUGUAAAACGGAAAAUGUUUUUGUUUUGCUUUAAGUGAUGUUGCAAAGUUGGAGAUUGAUGUUACUGUUCUAAAAAUCCCCGCCUAGCGCCGCCUAGGUGCUAGGCAGCUGAUCAUUGUUUCGAUUAAUGCCUAGGCAUUUGAAAAUUAAAAAAGGGUGCCUAGAUCUACUAAGGCACCCACCUUGACUGCCUAGGCACCCGCCAAGGCUGGAAUUCACUUAAAUAGAAAAUAGAUAAUUUUCGUUUUGCAUUUUAUUUUUUCAAUAAAUUGUAAGAGAAUUGUUGAAUAAUUAAGUGAACACACAU